rnacentral:lncRNA from 1 species
UAAAAGUAUAAUUUUGAAAUUUUAAUUUAAACAAAUGGGAUAGGGAAAUAGGUAGAAAAUUAAUUUUGACUAGUUCUUUGGUAAGCCAGUACAAUAAUAUUGAAAAUCAAAAGUAAAAAAGCUGAAAAGGAUAUAAAUAACAUGGUCAAUAACUUUAUCUAAAAGUAUACAAAUGUACAUUCAACAAAGAAAUAUAGAUUUUGUCAUGUUUUCAAAUGUAGGUCAUGAAUUAGACAACAAAGGAGUAAUCAAUGUAUUCUAAACCAUCAAUAUCAUAUUGUAUUCCUCAAAGCCAGCAACAAUUAAAAUUUUCAGAUAUUUGGAAAUCACUAAGCCCAUUAUUAAGUAAUCUUGAAGUUAGAAAGAAAACAAUAGGUGAAUUAUGAAAACAAUGUAGUAUAAUGAUAAAUACCUUUAGAUAUGCAAGUUUUUGAGAAUGCAUUUAAAACAGAAAUUGGAGGUAUAUUUCUAACUUUAAGUACAUUUUUUAGAAAAAACUGAAAAUCUAAUAAAACAACUAAAUCAUCCAUCUGAAAACCUAGAAAAAGCAUACAAGUAAACAAAAAGCAUAACAAAUUUAAGAAACAAACUAAGAAACAACAGAAGACAAAAUAUUAAAAUAAUUUUUGAUAUUAGUAGCAACACUAAUUAAGAACAUAAGGUAUGCAGAUGAAACAGAAUUUUGAAAAAGCUAUUAAUAGAGAUGUAACAGAUAAAAAAUGUGGUCUUCAAAUAGCAGGAAAAAAUUUUUAUCCUGGUUCCUUUCACAAAUUCCUCCAAACUCUCAAAGAUACACAGAAAGCAACAAAUAUGAACAAACAGAAAAUAGAAAAGCACAACAAACUAGACCUGUUCAUUUCACACUCUCCUAUUAGGUUGGUGUAAAAGUUAUUGCGGUUUUUGCCAUUAAAAGUAAUGUCAAAAACAGCAAUAAUUUUCCACCAACCCAAUAACAAUCUUUUGUUUAUAAUUUGCCUUUUUCUGCAUAUGGGACUAAUUCAAGUAUUUAGUUUCCGUUUGGGCAUUAUGAUCAGAAUGGGUUUGUGGGUGGUGGAUAUACAGACUGUUGGCACAAUUUGCUAUGUAUGGUUUGCUCUUAGAUAUCCAGAUAGAGUUACCAGGCAGUAGUCCAUCACCUCUCUGAGUCUGGAGGUCUGAGAACAGGGUGGGUGGGAGAAUAUAGCGAGAACUCUGUGAGGAAUUAGAUAUGGGGGUUACGCCCUUGACCUACGUGUAGCCAGCAAGCCCUAUUCAAUGUGCUGAGUUUAGAGAAAGGCUCAGACAAGGGCCUAGAGGAUGGGCAGGAGAAUCCGCAAGCUUCCCAGGGUUCUGCCUGGGCCAGGGCCUUGCCCAGCACAGCCUUGAAAGGACAGAACUGGGGUCCUGCAGCCCACCUCUGUGGGCACCUGGAACUAUGACCAUCCCACCUGCCCUAGUGUAGACAGGGCCUACAGGAGAUGAAGCCUCCGUUUUCUCCUGUAUAUAAUGUGAGGUGCUUAGAGCAUGAAACCACAGGGUUCCACAUGCUCGGAUAGUGUUUGUUGACCUUGGUUUUUUAUGAAUGACCCUGUGUGUACUGAGACACUUGGAAAAAGCUAUUCACUCUGGGGGUCCUUCAGAGCAGACAGAGGCUUGGUGGUUUGGGUGGAUGAGGAUUUGGGAUAGGACAGAAUGUGCCCAGGCACUGGACCCUGUGUCAAAAGUCUCGGAACAUGAUCAAACCUCAUUUGGAAGUUGGGGUAAAUUGCUGCCCUGGCUGUGGUGAGGACACCUCGAGAGUGAACUUUACACCCCAGGAACUGGAGGCAAAGAGGGGACAAGAGAGACUGCUGAGGUCCUUCUUACUGCCCUUGGAGCCUGCAGAUCCUGCUCCUCUGCCUCCUGGGAACCUGGAGAGCCACUGACUUGAGGAAUCUUAAAUGCAGGUCCCUGUUUUGUUCUGUGAUGCUCCUGCCUCAGGCUGCAGUGCUGAUGCUGGCUAUGGGGUGGGUGGGAGGACAGUGUUCUGUGUUCCUGGUGCCCACUGAGCUGUUCUCAUGCAUCUGGAUCCAGGGGAGAGUCAUGCUGAGGUCAUGCAGUUCCUGUUCUUAUGAAUGAUCUCCACAUUAUGAGGUGGCCAGAAGCAGGAAGGGGCAUUUGACAUCCUCCCAUUUAUUCACUCAGCAACUCUGCCCUUAGCAUUAGUCUUGUGUGCCAGGUGCCCUGGUGGGCCCAGCAUAUGGUACUGAAAAUGUCCACGUGGUCCCUGACCCUCAGGGGUUCACAGUCUGAGGACAGGUAGACAUCAAGCCCCAAGUUGAUACCUAGGUGUCGGAUGGACAUCACGCCCCAGAUGGACAGCCCAGCCAGAGGUAGACUUCAGGUCCCAAAUGGAAAUUUGGCCGUAGGUAGAUAUCUGGCCACUGGUGGAUAGCCAGUCCCAGGUGGACAUCAGGCUCCAGGUUGACAUCAGUCCCCAAUAGGAUAUCUAGGCCCCAGGUGGAUACCCACUGCGUACUUGUAAAUUGUCAAGACUGUUUUUUUUUUUUAAAGCAAGUGAGAGCUAUCAUAAAACAUGAUAACUUUUAGUAGAUUUUGAAUAUUCCUAAACUCCAUGAGAAAUCAUAAUAUUUUAAAAAUCAGCGUGUAUAUGGAAUGAGUAUUUUUAAAUGUAUCUUUCAUGUUAAAGGAUUUAGAAUAAAAUGUUACAAAAGUUAUCUGUGUUAUUCGUAGAAAAUGUAGACAAUGAAAAAAUCAGAGACUAAAAAUACCUAUAUUUUUGGCUAUGAGAUAAUCGCUGCUAUGGCACAUUCCUUCUAACCUUAUUGCCAUAGAUUUUUUAUACCUAAUAUUGAUUUUAUGCCACACAUUUCAUUACAUAUGCAAUGGAGUAUUACUUAUUCAUUACUAAGUCACAAAGAGUUUGAUUGUGUGUAUAUUUAAAAAGGCAAAGGAGA